rnacentral:misc_RNA from 1 species
GGCAUGAUACUGUACUUGCUCUUUCUUCGAAUCCGUUGGGCCAAGGAAAUCUAAAUCCAGGCCUUCUGUAUAUAUACACAGUAUACUGGCAUUCAGAUUUCGAGCUACAACUUUUCUUACUUUCCAGUAUCCUCUACUGCUUGAACCCGAGAUUUAACGUCUGAUUCGGACAUUGGAUCCCGAAUUGAUCCACAUUGUUUGUAUACGCUUGGGAAAAUCCAUUGAGACUCUGUUGGAAGUAACUCGAUUGGUCAAUCCGUUGAUUUCUUUUCCCGCUUUCAACUUCUUCGUCUAGAUUAAUACUUUCAACCUUUGUGUUGCCUCGGAAAUUUGGAGGAUGGGCGUAAACAUCGUUGAGAAAAUUCAUAUUGUUGUUGUCGCUGUGAAUGUGGUUAUUGACAUGCCCCUGAGCCUGACCCUGAACGCCUGGAGCUUGAUUUGC